rnacentral:rRNA from 1 species
UACAGAGGGUGCGAGCGUUAAUCGGAAUUACUGGGCGUAAAGCGUGCGUAGACGGCUAUCUAAGUCGGGUGUGAAAGCCCCGGGCUCAACCUGGGAAUUGCAUUCGAGACUGAAUAGCUAGGGUACGGUAGAGGGAAGUGGAAUUUCCGGUGUAGCGGUGAAAUGCGUAGAUAUCGGAAGGAACAUCAGUGGCGAAGGCGACUUCCUGGACCAAUACUGACGCUCAGGUGCGAAAGCGUGGGGAGCAAACAGG